ensembl:lncRNA
GUGCGGGUUUAGUUUUGUGUGGGUUUAGUUGAGUGCGGGUUUAGCUGAGUGCGGGUUUAGUUGAGUGCGGGUUUAGUUUUGUGUGGGUUUAGUUGAGUGCGGGUUUAGUUGAGUGAGGGUUUAGUUUUGUGUGGGUUUAGUUUUGUGUGGGUUUAGUUGAGUGCGGGUUUAGUUGAGUGCGGGUUUAUUUUUUGCGGGUUUAGUUGAGUGCGGGUUUAGUUUUGUGUGGGUUUAAUUGAGUGCGGCUUCAGCUGAGUGUGGGUUUAAUUGAGUGCGGGUUUAUAAACUUGCAGAGUUUUUGCGCCUUUUUUGCGGAAAACUACUCGAGUCGGCGAAAUCGCAAUCGCACAAAAUCGUUUUGCGUGGCCUUUCACGGUGAUGUUUGUCGGGAAACGAGGCCUUUUAGCUGUACUCAGGUUCGAAGCACAUGAAGCGAAGAGUGCUUCAGCUUGACGUGUACCGUGACGAUGUCAUGUGACACGUCUCGGCCGGGAUCUGCGGAAAAUCUGCGGUAAUUAAAAAAAAUUUAAAUCUCCUCGAUUUUGUGUUAAUUUCCGCGAUCGCAAAAUCGCGAAAUCCUGGAGGGACUGAUUUAUGUUUAGAGUAAUUGGGCAAUUUGCUGUGGUCUAAGAGGAACAUAACAUUCCAUUUCAGAUGACUAUAGAAAAAAACUACUUUGGAGCGGUAACACUGACUCCAGUUAUUAACAGUGACUCCACUAUCGUACGGUUAGAACCUCGCCGAUGAUUCCAGACUUUUGUUGUUGUUGUUGUUUGGUUUUUUUGGUUUUUUUUGUGGGUUUAUUUUGGUCACGCAUGUGAAGUAAAAUCCUGUGACUCAGCGUCAGAGCCCCGCUGUGCUCCAGCUCCUCUUCUCGGGAACAAGGCUUUCCUUUGUUCCGCUGGAAGAUGGACGAGUGCGCUGGCAUGCUAAUGAGAGACAACAAAGCGACCCGGGACGGACCGUCGCCACGGCAACCGGCCCCGCACCAGGACGCUGAUGCAUUCAGGACACAUUUGUUAUGAGCCCAUGGGGGUUUACUCGGCUUCACAUUCAAACCCGAGAACAGAGAGUGCAACAACAAUGGACUGCUGGGAGAACGCGCACGCUCGGUACGUUCAGCUCACGCCGAUAACGCGGAGACAAUUCACUCGGACGCAGCACACGCGUGCAUCGCUACUGAGGUGGAAAUCACAACAACAAAAAGAAAAAAGAAAAAAGCCAGAACAAAUAAAUAAUCCUCUUUUUUUUUUUUUAAAGUAGUAAACGUAAUAAAAAAGUAAUGGUA